ensembl:lncRNA novel transcript
GCAAAGCCCAACGGCAGAGAUGAAUGCCUUGUCCGCUGUACAGAAGCACUGCAGUUAUAUGACAAGGCGUGUGGAUGCAAAUGCUUUUAUAGGUCUGCUGUUGCCCUGGAGGUGCUGUCAGUGGAGUCUAAGAUUUGGUUCCCUUGUUUGUCAAUAUUCAUCAAUCAGAAUUCUUGAGCAUCUGUCACGGUGAGGCACUGUGCUAAGCACUCAGCAUAAAUUGACUGAAGAAAACAGACACAGUCCCUGCCUUCCCUGAGUGUGCAUUCUAGUGGGAGCAACAGACCUUAAAUGAGACCUUUCUAAAAUUGAGUAUAAAAGGAACUAAUGAGAUAGAAACUCAGAAGGACAAAGACAACAGGUGAUGAGAGAGAGAAUUGUGACUGCAAAGAGUGAACAUAUUUUUGGAAGAUAAAAAGUGGAAGGAGGAGUGAGCAAAAGUAAGAAUGCUGUAUACCAAGUGUGAGCAAACUGGAUGCCAAUGUCAAAGGAGCCAAGUCACAGCAUCUAACCCCCCUAGUCCAGGCAAGUGUUCCUCCUCACCCUGCCAGGAUGCCAGAAUCUUACUAUUCUGUGGAGAAGUUGAACUGGAGUGGCUCCACAACCAGGAUGCCGGCCCCAGAAGAAGUGGAGGAACACGCAUGCUCGCAGAAGCCAUUACAAUCCCGUCGUGCAGCAGCCUGUGCUAUUGACCAGCCUAGAAGUCAUUUUUCGACUCAAGGGGAGAAGGGUGGGUUUCUGCUCUUUCCUUGCACCAUCUGAAGGACACGGCAGAAGAUAAAGGAAAAUGGCCAUGAGAUGCUCCAGCGGAGCUGGGUCCAAGGCCUGGCGCUCACCAAAGAUUGCACUACUCUCAGCAUGGUACAGGAAGACAACUGAUGGGACAAUGCAAGCUGGGACAAUCUCCAACCCAAAGGGUAUCUCAGAAAACAGCACUAGGUGAGACCACAGCACAACCCCAGUCAACCUUUAAAUCAGAAAAGGAGCUGGAGGAUGCAAUUCAUUGAUGUAUAGAAAGUUUUAAAAAGUAAAAACUGAAAUACAGAAAACAAAGUUUGCAAUGUGUAAGAAAUAAAGGACUGAAAUUUGUACCUACAA